CAUUCAAAGUGAAGGUGAUAAAAAUACAAUGAAGAAGGUUCCAGAAAUUCCACUGGGGAAGGUGUUUGCAAGGAUUAAAAAAUCUCUAAUGCUUCUCCAACAGAGUGCAGAUGUGCCAGUGCUUGCUUUGGUGGGGUUUGUGAAAGGCUAGCAAAAUGCUGGGUUGAUAAUGACUUGCAAUCGUUCCGUGGAAUUUCUUUGUAACUCUUAGGAAGAAUUGUUAUCUAAACACUGUACUUUGGAGCACCUGUAAUCGAGGCUGGAGAUGUGAAUAUUGAUUGUCAGCCAAUGCAGAUUCUUGUUUGAAACAGUCUGUUUGGAUAAGAAGGAAAAAUUAUGUAAUAACAAUGUUUUUCACAGCUAAAACACUGGCUGUUAGUGCAGCAUUCAUUUUCUGUCUUUUGGAGCAGUUAUUUCUUUUCCUUUCUCUCCUCAAAAGCAUUUUCAAUCUGUUGUUAUUACUUAUCCUAAUACCAGGAGAAGUGUUGUCAGAGCAAUUACGAGUCCUGAGCCAUUUCAGAGGCUCAUUGCAUUUAGUUUAGUGAUGUCUUCUGCAAGAGUUUACCAUCCGCCCACAGUUUAGUAUCCACUAAAAGUUAGCGGAAGAAAUGGAGCUGCUCAUGGAGAAGAGGAACCUGAGGGCAAGGGAAGCAUUGUGUGAUUCUCUGUGCAGCUGUUCUGGUGAGAUGAGGUUUCUUGAAGCUCUCAGAUAUUUGGUGCUUUGAACGAAAUUGCAUACUUUGAGAGGUAGUCUCUGGGAGAGCAUUGCUGUCUCACGGAUUAGUACUUGCGUGCGGAGUGGCAGACGACGUGCCACAGCCUUUCUGUUUCAAAGUCUUGCUGCAGUGCAGUCUACAUGCUAGUGCUGUUGCCUUUCAACCUGCUUUUCAAGAUGUUUUUUGCUCACUGCCCCAGUUCUUUUUGGAGCCUUCCACUGUAAUCCUGCUUUCAGUCAACACAUUAGAAUUGGGAAAGCCUUGCAGUGCAGAAAUCUGCACUGGUGUUGAAUCCUCACAUGACUUCCAGUCAGUUGAUCUCUUACACCUCCCGUCUCCCUGCAACCAGAGCUCUGUUGCUUCUGCAGAAUUAAUCUACUAGCACACAACUCAUUUCAGACAAAGAACCGACUUAAUUUUCAGCAGAACUCCUGGCACACCACGAAGAAGCCCAUCUGCUGUUGGGUGCCCGCUGCACGCGCAUCCCUGCCCCAGGUGUCAGCCAGAGCGGGGCCAAGCCGCCUCCGUCCCCAUGGCAACCACACAUGGCGUCACCAUGGCAACACACUGCACCACGGGAUGGAGCCCGCGCCCAAACCCGUGCAGCAAUCCCACUUGUUAAAGCACUUGGAAAUUGAAAAAAAAAUUGUAAAAAAAGAGAAGGAAAAGGCAGCAUUGAAAAGCAUUGCCGUUUCUGCUGAAUAACACACAAGAUGGAUGGCUGCUGAGAUUGUAGUGUUUUCGUCUUUGCUGUUGCAUUUGAGAGGGAAAUGCCUUCAUGAUGAUCUUUUCCUUUACUUCUAAAAUGGAAUAACAUAGGGCACAUCUGUAGUGCAUGUGUGUAGAAAUUAUGAGUACAAAAACACAGAUAUGUCACAGGGGGAAUAGUGAGUGUGCCCAUAAGUACCGCCAUAACGCGCUGUGUCUCAUGCUUUCAAUUUAGAAUGUGCAACUGAAAAAAGUUUGCAUGAGAUGGAGUGGCUUAAUUCCUUAUAUGUAACCUGCUUCUCUUUUGUGUCUAUUCCUGUGUGUGUUUGAAUGCAUCCAUGUGCUUAUUUCAGUUGUCUAUUUUUUAAGUUAUUAGUUUUUAAACAGUAAUCUUAAAAUAUGGUUGACAUUUUGCAAUGCAGAAUACAUAUUCCUUCUUGCUCUUCUAAUUGUUGUUGGGCUAUUUCUUGUCUUCACAUCAUUGUACACAUCUGCUGUACCUGCACAGCAGAGGAAGAAGAGACAUGAGCACCCGUUGCAGGUGGGCAGGGUUUCACACCGCUGUCCUCCAGGGGAGCAGGAGAGGAACACAGGGCCCAGCAGUGCAGCAGGCUGAGGGGUUUUCUCCUGCCUUCUCUUCCUGGGGAGCUGGGCCACAGUCAGUUUGACAAAGGCUCAUUGUCAAGUACAUGUAGAGGAUUAUGUAGGAAGUUGGAAAUAGAAGACUGAAAUUACAGCCUGUUUAAAUCCUAACCUGUAAUUCAAUUUGACUAUACCUCAGUGGUUUCAACAGUCAGAACUCAGAGGGCAUAAUUUGAAGGCAGUUUGUAAAUGAGAGUAAAAGGCAGGUUGUCACUGGCACACCAAGCAGACCUUUGGGCCAGCUGCACGGCCAGCUGUGCUCUGCCCCAGCAUCGCCUCAGCCCAGCAGUGUCCUGCUGCCAUGUGGGCUCCAGGGCUGGCUCGACCAACCCUCAAACUGCAGAACUGCUGCUCUGUGCUGUAUGGAAGAGUCCCUUUCUAAACGUACUCAUGGAAAAUUUUGAGAAAAAUCACAGCAACCCUUCUUGAGACUCACCGUCUUAGAUAAAAUAUAUCACAAAUGCACCUUUGAAGAUCCAUUUUAAUCAUUUCUGUUCUAACUCCAAAGUGUCUUUGGUUUAAUACUUCAAAUAUAGCUUAGCAUAGCUAGGAGUGAGCUGUUAUGGCUUACAUAUGUAUGGCUUACAUAUGAAAUACAAAGUUCUGAAUGUUUGGAAAGUUCUAUCAUGCUGACUAAGUUUUCUUCUUUGUGGCCACUGUUGUCACUUCAUCCUUUUUAAAAUUUAUGUAUUGAUUUGUAUUUGCUUCUUCUUUUCAAUCAGCAGCUCUGCAUUCAGUUGGCAUUUUAAAAUAUUUUCCUGUUACUUUCAAAAAAUGUGGUGCAGCCUGCUAGUGUUUUAGCUGUAGCACUGUAUAACUAAUUCAAUGUAUUCAGACCGAACCUAGGCUGCAAAUAACCAGGAAGGUCUAAAAGUGUUUGGACCUGAAAAUAUCACUCAACAAAUCCCAUGCACAGCUAUAAAUCAUGAUAUUUCCUUACUCCUUACAUUUUUUAUUUAAUUUUAUAGGGCUGUUGCUGUUCUGUUGUGGUCUCUGUGUGUAAUCAGAUAGUACUCUUGACCUUGGCCCAGAUUUAAUGUGAACCUCUUUUGUUUCUCGGAGUUCACUGUGCUAAAUUUUGAUAGCAAAUGUUCGAGACAGUUUACUGGGAUUACGUGCAAGUUUUUUUACCAAACAAUUAUGCACGUCUGCUAUGGAUUUGUCUUUUUUAUGCUAUGUGAAAAUGAUUGCUACUCCACGGUUGUCACUAAAAAGACAUGAUAAAAGUUAUGUCUGAAGCUGUGGAUGUUCUGACAAUAUUUCAAAAUAUAUUUGAGAUUUCUUAAUGAUAUAUUCGUAUAUUCAGAAAAGUAAUAGGGUUUGUGUGUCAUUUUUUUGUACAUUUGGCUCUCAGCUAUGUUAGUUGAAGACUGUUACUAAAUACUCAGUCUGCGAUACGUUUAAUAUUUGGUAAUAAGAGAUGAACUGUAGCCAACAAUACACGAUGUGUUUUUGUGCACUCACACCUGUUUUUUUGUUUGAUACAGAGGGUCAGCAUACAUCAAAUCACCGCAGUUCUCCUAGAGCUCGGGAAGUCCCUGAGCCUGGCAACAAAAGGUUGUGGCUACUGCAGGGCUUCUUUCUCUGUGUUCUGGUGUUCUGAGGCAACUGUGGAGCCAGCAGUUAGUCCUGGUUGAAGGAAUGCUGUCAGUGACCCCUCUCUCAAUCUGACAUAAAACACUAUUCAAGGUGGAAGAGCCUACGCAAGGAAUGACAUCAUCUGCUGUUGCACUAGCUGGUGUGGAUACAUAAUAGGAUCCAUUACCUCAAAGUGGGGACUUAUUUCAGGCAAUUAAUCAUUUGCAGUAACUCUGGUUGGUGCACACUACCAGUCAGCUGGCAAGAAAGCAAUUGCAUAGCCCUCUUCAGACUACAACUGUAUUCAGCCCAAAAGUACUAUUUUGACCUUGGCUUCCUCUUUCCCCACUGGAUUCAGAACAGCACAGAGUUUUAUUUUAGCAAUGAUAAGCUCAGGAUUGAUUAUAUUCCCUUCUGGUGCCAGUGAGAAAGCCUUACUAUGACCACUCAAAGCAUUAGUUUCAGAAAGACAUUGACUAAAAUUCAUUCUCUCUGGUGGAAGCCCUCCAGCUCCAUCCUGACAAACCAGCAGUAUGGAUGUGCUGCAGGUAUGCCAGAGACUUACAUGCUCAAGAGCUCUUGCAGAUAUUCCACACUCAGGCCCAUCUUAUCUGUUCCAGAUAAGUCCCUGGAUUUCUCAACCUUGCAGGCAGUGCACACAGCCUGCAAGUUCCAACUCAAGGAAAAGCAGAACUUGCUGUUCUGAAAAGCGAGUGCUGAAAAGCACUCGUUUGCUUGAGCACAUUGAGGGGACAGGGCAGCCCCAGCAGGGCCUGGGCACAUGGCCUGCAGGUGAGCUUCCAGUGCUCAGGGAGAAAGCCAGGUGGAGGACAGCAACACCUCGGCUGCUGUCAAAGCAGCACAGACCUGGCUAACAUGCCAGGCUGCUGAUUGCCUAAGAGAAGGCUUUGUGGCCCUGUACUUCAGUAGUUCAUGAAAAACCCUGCCUUUUGUGAAGGCAGAAAGCACACAAAGCAAAUCCAUUGAAUUUUAUGCAGGUCCACCACAAGCACAUGGCGUAGCCAUGGAAAAAUUGGAUUACAAGAUCUCUGUUAUUUUCAUUUGUAGUCUCUAGUUCAGCAUACUGCAAAGCUGGACUUCAGGUCGUGAUGACACCUCAUGUAAGUGUAAAGUGUAUUGGUUUUAAUAAGCUAUUAUCCUCCAUUGUAACUGUGUAGGUCUCAAAUAAUGCAGUGUCUGCCAAAUAAUUUGUUUCAUCUGAAAAUUAAAUGAGAAUUUUAAACAUCUGAGAAAGGUAAUAGACUGUGUAUAUUUUUGUGGUGAUUAUUUGCACAUCUUUAUAAUUCAGACAUAAACGAGGAUGACUCUGUGGCACAUAACUGUAACAAGUGCCUUUAACUACGUUAUGAAAUGUCUCCAUGGCAACAUCCUUUUGCUCAUCGUAUUUAUAGUGAGAAAAAGAAAACAAGCAAAAAUAAUCCUAACCCUGAAACCUUUCUGAAAUCUAGGGGUUGAAAGGUAUCUGAAGUCAAGGUUCUGAUCCUUAGAUCACGUUACCAGAGAAAUAAGAACUAGAAGUAAAAGCAGAAUGUUUCUUUUGAUUUCAGCUUUAUAUGAAAAUACCAAGACGCUGUGACCAAUUACAACUUGUUUUUAACAGAAGAAAGUUAGAAAAAGGAUGGUGUGUUUGCUGGCUUAUCGCAGAGCUGACCAUGCUGAGUCAGACACACAGAGAAAAAAAUGUGGUACUGGUACCAAAGCAAGAUGUUCCGUCCCUACGCUGUGUCCAUCAGUGUUCUGCCCACAGCAACAUGAGCCAAGUGGAACAGGGAAGAGUUUGAAGCAUUGAUGUCUCUCAUUGUCUGACGAAGGAUACUUGCCUCUUUCAGUGCCAAGGAGAUUGCCUCCUCCAAGCUCGAGAGUGGUCCGUCCUGAUGAGCAGGAAAGUAUGGAAAAGCAGCGGGAGGCCUGUAUGGGUGAAGGAUCUCCUGACUGACCUUGGCCAUAAAGUAAAUGCAUGCAAGACAUGGAAGCAGAGAUGAGUGGCCCAGGAGGAAAACAGAGAUUCUUUAAGUAUAAGGAGCGCUAUAGUGCAACUGUGGUGGAAGAAUGCAAAGCAAGAGCUCAAGGAAAGUGAGCAUGGCCAAUUCAUGUUUUAUUCAUAUGAAUCACAGUGGUUUUCCAUGGAAUUAUUAAACUACAGAACUGCAGUACCUAUUCUGAAGCACAGUCCUUGACUCUGAGUGGAUUCCGAGUUCUACACCUACAUUUAGCUCUUCUGAAAAGUCAAAGAAGUUUUUUUUUUUAUACACUGAAAAUGUGCAGUUAACAUAGAAAAUUACAAUUUGAAGAGUGACUGUUAUCAAGAUGUGCUCAAAACCAGUUGGGAUUCCUAAGAAUGAUGCAGCAAAGUGGAAAUAUGCUGCAAAGGGAAAGGACACGAGAGCAGAAAUACUUUAAACAUUUAAUUUCAAGAUAUUCAGUAAGCAGAUGUCUCCAUGUCAUCUCUCACAUUUCACUGAAGCUAUAAAUUAACUCUCAAGUUAAAUGCAAGUGUUGGGGAUUCCUAUUUGGAGGAUCCUUUAAGAAUACUCUACUGGUUAAGCAUCCUUCUGCACAGAAAUGCAGAGAAGUGCCUUCUGAAUAUUAAGUCAGCUGUGGACUGCAUUACUUUCACUAGUUCUGAUUAAUGUGCUGUUGCAUCCUGGUAAGAUUUAUGAACUGUGAAGGAUAUGUGAACGCUCUCACUUCAUGUCAAAGAAAGAGUGUGAAGAAUUUAAAUAAACGUAGCAUUUAGAUGGCCUGCUUUUGUCAGGAUCUGAUUGACUAUGUCUGCCUUUCUAAAGCCUGCUUCUGUUUGCAUGGUUUAAAAUGUUUUUGGAGCUUGCAAUUUCUAAACGCUAGUUAAAUUAGCAAAGAGCAACCAAGCUAUUGUUUCAACAAGUGAUGAAGUCUUAUGCUAAACGAGCUGGCUAUGUUUACAUCAGGUGUCAGAUAACGGCGUAAGGUUUUAGGUAUGUUUUUAAAAGACAUAUUUCUUGUAGUGUCGAGAGUUGCUGUAAAACAUGACCAAAGCAGGAAAAAAAAAAGGUUGAGAAAAAGGUUGAAAAGAAAAAAGGAAAAUACCUGUAUCCAUGUCUCUUAUUUUGUAAUUAAAAUGUUAAUGGUUAUAAAUAAAUUAUGGAUUUGAUACUAUUUCCACAAUUGCUUUCAAUUUGGAAAUUCUAGAUUAAGUUCUUUAUACUUCUUGCUGGUGGUGGUGGAGUUUGCCCUUUAAGUUAUCUACAUUGCCAUCUCCAGUAAUUACAGUCAAAACUAUUCUUAACCACAAAAAAUUAAGUUCACUCAAUGGCAAGGAAUGAUUCUAAUAAUUGUUUUUAAUGGUUUUAGGUGACAGAACGUUAUAUCCCUACUGGUUUUGAAGUAAUACAAAUAAUAAUGUGCUAUUAGUUAGAAGCAACCCAUAAGAAUCCCUAAUUAAAAGAUGGAAUUUGAUUUUUAUUACUACUAUUAAAAAACACCUGCUUUCCGUUGCUUUCUUGUUCAAUGUGGUACCAUAAUCUUUUCAUUUAGACCUACCUUAUGUUAUGAAGGAUUUAAACUAAAUCAACUUACAUGUGAUUAUGAGCCUUGAGGCUGAAAUGAAAGAUGAUUCCUUUUACAAAUCAUUAUAAAAAAUAGAGCAAUAAGAAAAAAAGUGCUUAUUUCUGUAAUAAUUAUAAAUUAUUCUGUGAGUAGAGAAGCCAUUGGCUAUUGAGGAUAUUUUGAUAGUCUUAAAAAAAAUUAUUUAGCCUUUUGUUAAUUUUGUGGAAAUUUUUAUGUCAAUGGGAUUACAGUUGUCCAAUUAGCUUUGCACAGUUUUAAAGGCCAGACUGGAUGAGGUUUUGAGUAUCGUGGUGUAGUGGGAGAUGUCCUUUCUCAUGGUAGGGGGGUUAGAAUAAUACAAUCUUCUAAGGUCCUUUCCAACCCAAACCAUUAAAUUAUUCUAUGAUUCUAUGAGUUCUAGGCAUGACUGACAGAAUGGGAUAAUUCCUGUUGUCUUCGAUGUGUUUAACAAAAACUUAUAUGUCACUUGUAUCAUAUGUACGAGUGGUACCUGCUGGUUCAGAAGUAGAUAAAAACUAUUAUUCUUGAUAAAAAUUGAUAAACCUGAGUUAUUGCACUCAACACAAACUUGCUAUAUGUUAAUUUUCUCUAAUCAACAGCUCAUUAAUAAUCGUCAAAAGCCUUCAUUGAAAGUGUAGCUCUUUUUUUAUUAUUAAAAAAAAAAAGGCGUUGAGAGGAAGGAUGCAGAAUUCUCAGUAGCUUCAGCAGAGCUGGGUUUUUAGGCAGAGCGAGCAGUCCAGUCUCUGGUCAUGUUCACACUGUUGGGACCAGCUCUGGAGUAGUGUGAGGAAUGGAAAUAGUUCUGCCAAAAAGUGGGCGGUUUCCUCUCCUGUCUUGUCUCAUAUUAUGUUCCUCAUUUUGUCUGUGAAUCACCAAAGAUCCUUUGUGAUGCAUU